CCUACGGGAGGCAGCAGUGGGGAAUAUUGCACAAUGGGGGAAACCCUGAUGCAGCGACGCCGCGUGAGUGAAGAAGUAAUUCGUUAUGUAAAGCUCUUUCAGCAGGGAAGCAAAUGACGGUACCUGAGUCAGAAGCCCCGGCUAACUACGUGCCAGCAGCCGCGGUCAUACGUCGGGGGCAAGCGUUAUCCGGAUUUACUGGGUGUAAAGGGAGCGUUGAUGGCAGUGCAAGUCUGGAGGGAAAGGCGGGGGCUCAACCCCCGGACUGCUGUGGAAACUGGACGGCUGGAGUGCAGGAGAGGUAAGUGGAAUUCCUGGUGUAGCGGUGAAAUGCGUAGAUAUUAGGAGGAACACCAGUGGCGAAGGCGGCUUACUGGACUGUAACUGACGUUGAGGCACGAAAGCGUGGGGAGCAAACAGGAUUAGAUACCCGUGUAGUC
rnacentral:rRNA from 1 species